ACAGCGGUAAAGAGUCACGUAAAUGAUGCGGAUGUGCCCUGUUAGCACCCGCUACUACUUGCAGUAAGGCACUCUUGAUCAGCUGCUUGUGCAAUGGAAAACAUUACAGAAAUACUCGACGGACUUAAGCUUGGCGUUAGCGGAGAGCAAAAAGCGGUCGAUGCCGAUUUAUGUCUUCGCCUGAAGAGUCUCUUGGCACUCCUCACAGCUGAUGAGCAACCUUCUAACUCGGAACCUAACAGGCAGCAGGUGUGUGAGUGUCUCUUGAAGAGUACGUUUGUCAGCUCCACAAAAGAUCUUCUCAAGUCUUCCUCAGCCAUCACUGAAGAAACUUUGACUCUGCUUGUUCAAGUGAUAGCCGAAGCGGCCAAAUAUGGUUGGUUUGGCUUUCUUAUAUGCUUGAUAUAAAAAGAAUACAGACGGAGUGAUUGACAAAUAAUGCAGUUGUGUUUCACCAAAUAUCUGUCUUCAGAAUUUACAUUUUCAUUUAGGUUUUUUGCCACCUACUGAAUUUCACUGGAUGGGAUGGCGGCUCCUAAUAAAGCACCU